AUUGAACGCUGGCGGCAUGCUUUACACAUGCAAGUCGAGCGGCAGCGCGGGGGGCAACCCUGGCGGCGAGCGGCGAACGGGUGAGUAAUGCAUCGGAACGUACCCUGGAGUGGGGGAUAACGCCGCGAAAGCGGCGCUAAUACCGCAUAUGCUCUGAGGAGGAAAGUGGGGGACCGCAAGGCCUCACGCUCUGGGAGCGGCCGAUGUCCGAUUAGCUAGUUGGUGAGGUAAAGGCUUACCAAGGCGACGAUCGGUAGCUGGUCUGAGAGGAUGAUCAGCCACACUGGGACUGAGACACGGCCCAGACUCCUACGGGAGGCAGCAGUGGGGAAUUUUGGACAAUGGGGGCAACCCUGAUCCAGCCAUGCCGCGUGAGUGAAGAAGG
rnacentral:rRNA from 1 species